AUUAGUUGCCACCUCUAGCCAAUCAGAAGCUAUCUCGUGACACAUCCAUAUAAACACAAAUAAAAUCAUUUAAUAAAUUAUUUAAAGUCGUUCAUGUGUUUGUCUUUCUUCUUCUUCUUCUUCCCCUCUAUUAGAACAUGCUUGUGCAAUUACAACCAAAGAGACUACAAAAAUGCCAUGGACUUGAACUAAACACAAAUACGUUUGUGUUGGUAUGUGGGGGAUAAAAUUAAACUUAUAAGGAAUUAAUCAAAAGCUUUAAGGUGUGUAACCAUAUCACCUUUUUACGGUUUUAUUCGUCACCACCGUAUAUUUUAGUGUGCAAAAGAGUUACAAACAAGCCUAAUGACUGUUUGCAUUUUACACUAACAAAAACAUUCUAUUGAACAUUGUAUAAUAAGAUAAAUAUCAAUUUCUAUAGACAAUUUUUGCACCAAUUUAUUAUACAAUAAUCUUUGAAUAUAAAAGACUUGGGAGAACAAAAGGAAACUUUGUUUCUAUGCUUUUCUCAUUGUGCCUUGCAAAUGAAAUUUGAAUCUUAUUUAUAGGAGUUUUCAUGCCUCUUCGUAAAGACAUAAUUAUUUAAUAGAUAUCUAUUUUGAGGCACAUCUCCUAAAUAAAAAUAACUAUUCAACAAAUAUUACUUAAAUAAUUAUAGUUCUUUAUUAAAAUCAAGUGAUAAAUUUUGAUAUUUAAUUGACAUAACUCAUCAUUAUAAAUAGUGAGAAUUUUUUACUAAUAACCAAAUAUUAUAAGUAUUGAUUAUUUACAAUUUUCCAAUUAUAAUUAUUGAAAUAGCCAAACUAUUCCAAAAUACAGCACCAAAAGAAAGUUUCAAGAGUCUAAGUAAUAUUUAUAAUGUUUUGAAAAUAUUUCAACAUACAUCACUAUUAGAGGUGAUAAUGAAGAAGAAGAAAAAUAGAGUGAGAUUUUCAAGAAAAUUAUUAAGUUUUUAAAUUUAUUUUCAUCAUUUUUUUUGUUAUUUUUAUUUAAUUAAGUUAAUUUUGAAAAUAUUUCAACAUAAGAGAGAGAAAUAAAUUAUUAAUUUUUUGUUUUUAUUUAUUUUCAUCAAACCAUUAAAAAAAACUUUAAGUAGUAUUUGACAAGUCACUUAGUAAUUAAAUUUAGGUGUAAUUGUGUGUAAUUACACAAAAUGACAUGUUUGAGUAAUCUUAAUUUAUAAUUGGUGGGUCUCACUAGCAUCCAAAUAUACUUUCUAAUUUGUAGGAGAAGGGUGAGAAUUUGAGUAAUUACACUCAAAUCCAAUUUAAAAAAAUUAUUUUUAUACAAGUUAUAAAGAUCAUAUUAUAAGCAUGGACAUGUAUGUGUUUGCAGAUAGUUAUGACAAAAAAUUUCUUAUAUUAUAAAUACUAAAAAAUUAUAUUAUAAAAAUAAUUUGUGUAUUUUAUAAAGUUAUAAAAAUUAUAUCAUUUAAAUUCUAAAAAAAUUUUAAAGUUAUAAUAAAAAAGUUUAUUAUCAAAAAAUAAUUUACAUGUUAUAAAAGUGUUAUAAUAUAUUUAUUUAUAAAAAUUUGUGGUCAAGAAGUAUGAGUAUAACUUAUUUAUGUUUCCAUACUAUAUAUUAUAAAAAUAAUAUACUUAUUCAUAAAAGAAUGUUAUAGCUUUUUUUUUAUCAUAACUAAUUUAUAAAAUAUAACUAUUUUAAAUUAUGAUAAAAAAUAUUAUUUAUAAGAAGUGUUAUAAAAGUUAUCGGACAACUUAUAAAAUCUUAUUUAUAAAGGUUAUAUAUUAUAAAUUUUAUACCAUUUUUACUUAAUUUAUGUAUUAUAAAAAGAUAUAUAACCUAGCAUAAUUUUUUUCUCCAAAUUAAGUUGAUAUAAGUUUUUAUAAUUAAAGUUACUACUAUUUGGACUGUGAACCCAAAUAUUAUAAGUCGAUGCUAAUUAUGCAAAUACAAAAUGUUCUCUUGUACUAUAUCGUGGGGUAUGAUAUCAUUUGAGAAAAUGAUAUUAGACACAAACACCAUAGAUAACUCACAAAGUUUUUAAUUUGAGAUAUUUAAGGCUUCGAAAUAUGAUUAAAAAGACAUUUGCUACUCUAAAAAUAUAUUUCCCAUAUUAACAUUACCUUAGUAUAGCAUAAAAAAAAGGUUAGAUUGUACUAGCAUGUUGCAUAUUUCAUAACUGUAAUUAUAGGUGGAAUUAAUAUGAUCCAUACUUUGAAGAGUAUAUGAAAUAAUGAGAUCUUGAUAAUCUUAAUGAUGCAAAUUAUAAUUCAAAUGAUGAUGAACUCGAUCAAUGAUCAACAGAUAAUGAUAAUAAGAAGUAUAUAUUAAAUAUUAAAGGGGGAAUAACCCAACAAAUAUAUACUAGAACAAUUACAUAAAAUUGGAUAUGAUGUUUAUUUUUCUUGUUAUUUUCAUUUCUAAUACUAAAAUAAUAUAUAUAAUGAUUUGAUUUUAAUUUUUAUUAAAGAAAAUAUUUUUAUUAUACUAAUAAUUUUUUAUAGCAAUUAAUAUUUUUAAAAAUAUAAAUUAUAUAAUUGUGUAAUUACAAUUUAUACUAUCAAACGUGACAUAAAGAAUUACGAUAUAACUACACUUCGUCAACUAAACAUGUCUAACGAAUUACAAUUCUUUGUAAUUACAAAAGAAUGUAAUUAUCACUUUAAUAAUUAUACUUUCAUUCAAUUAGAGAACCAAAUCCGAGGCAAGAGAUUAAUUGAAAUAAAAUUGCAAUAAAAAAAUUAAAAUCCUUAAUUAGAGAACCAAAUUCUAAUGGUGUUUCCUAAUAUAGUUUUCGUCACAAAAGCAUCCACAACAUUAAAGUUCCACUAUAUAGUAUCCCAAUUCAAUCUCAUUUCCGAUUCUGCGUCAUUAGAUAAGCUAAUUCCAGUUAAAAGAACUUCUUGUAUUGAUGUCUGACUGUAUACAGUUCAUCGCAGUUAUAACAUGCAUUUUUAGUGACAGUGAAAAUGGCCUACAAAAGCACUAAAUUCUGUCACUAAAACUCAGUCACCUACCAUACAAAUUAACUCCACUUCCACUGUUAUAUUAGUGACAAGUCAAUUAGCCGAUUUUUUAAUGACUGCGUUUCUUUGUCUAAUUAAUUUCAAACAUUUUGUCACGAAUACACAUUUAAAUAGCGUCUAAAAACAUGUUAUCAUGAACCUGGUUGAUGUUGGAAUUGAUUCGUCUGAUUUAUUUAAAUAAAUUAUUAAAAUCAUAAAAUUUUAAAAGUAAAGAAAAUUGGUUUAACUAACUUUUUAAAUCUUAUUCAUUAAGUUCAUAUCCAUUUGCGAGUCUACUAAUCCAAUUUUUUUAUUAUUUUAGAUCGAUUCUCAAUCUAAUUACAGUCUAAUUCAAUUUUAAAAACCUAACAGUUAUUACAUAUUUCGAAUUAUUUAACGAAUUUGUGUCAAUAGUUUUCCUAACUUAUUGUCACCCUCAAAAAGUUGAGAUAUCGAGACUGCCAUAUUCGUUAGGGAAUUGAAAUUGGCCUCUGUACCUUGUCAAAGUCCUAUGAUUAUUUCAGACACGUAGCAUUUACUGCUUCUGUUCAAAGACUACAGUAAGGCUCAUGGAUAAGGUGUAUUUGAUCCAAAUCAUAAGGGGGAGGGAAGCAAUAAUUGCCAACUUAAUUUGAUAAUGUGAACGGCUGUGAAACAAACUUAUCUGCCUCGUUAGUCUGUUGAUUUCUGGAAGAAUUGUUCACACUGAUGCAACCAAAUCAAUGGAUCAUUCAACCCAUCAAAAUUAGCAAAUUUUAAUUUCGUGUAUCUCAAGGCAACUUUUUCAACUCACCUGGCAAAGGCAUUUAGUCUAUACCCAGGUUGUAUUGUUGCUUGUAAAAUCGCAAUAAAUAAACCUGGAAAAUAAAUCAGCUUAAAUAAAAUUAUAAUUUAAAACCAUAUGCCUUAAUUAAAGAACCGAAACUAGUGACCUUUCCUAGUUCGGCCACAAAAGCAUCCACAAUAAAUACAUUGAACUACAAAUUAUAUGGCUCCAUCACAUGUUAGUAUUCUCCUUAUUUCAAAAAAAAAAAAAAAAAAAGAGUUAGUAUUCUCCUUUAGUCCUUGUAAUGAAUAUACAAUACACAAAGGUCCAAUGGCUCUGUAGAAUCAGCUACUACAUCAUAUCUUAGAUGUGACAAUGCAAAGCUCGUGCAUGACUGUGUUGCCACAGCUGCCUAGUAGCUUGCAAGCCAUGCGUAGAUGUAAUAUUCCGACAAGAUCUUUUGCAUUGCAGCUAAUCUUAUUGUUCACCUUCACCUUUGUCCAAUGAAGCAGAUAAAUAGCUCAAGAUGAAGCUGUCUAGAUCUCCCUCUAGCACAGAAUCGGGAUCAGAGACCUCAUAAUUGGUCCUCAGAUCCUUCACCAAGCGAUAAGGCUGCACCAACAGAUAGCAAAACAAAGUUUAGUGUGAACGAAUUUGUUUCUUGUCAGAAGGGAACUUACAGUGCAAGUUUCAUGGCAGCAGAGCAUUUACAUUAAGGACAUAAGUACGUAUCUGGUUGCCCCAACUUAUCUCGGUAAGAGAUUGUGUGUGCUGGGAAUUCAUCUGUGCUUGACGAGCCAUCUCAAGCUGGUCUAAUCGAGACUGAAGCACAGCCAUUGCUGAGGCCUUAUUCUGAUGUUGUGAUCUGUGUGUUUACAACUAAAUUAUGAGCUUGGAUUAAAGAGAAAACAAGAGUAAUCGGGCUCCAUUAUUAGCAAAAACAAAACAGGAAAACUGCAGUGGUUUUGACAAUCAGCAUACUAUUCACACCUUUCAUUUUGACAAGUAGCAGUUACUCCUGUGGGAAUGUGGACAAUUCUCACAGCACUCUCAGUCGUGUUAACAUGCUGACCACCGGCUCCCCCAGCACGAAACCGUUCAAUACAAAGGUCAGAUUCAUUAAUUUGUACUCGAGAAGAUCCGUCACCUAGGAUUGGAAUUACAGCAACAGCAGCAAAUGAAGUAUGCCGGCGUUUUCCACUGUCAAAAGGUGAGAUACGAACUAACCUAUGAACUCCUACUUCUGCUUUGGCAUAUCCAAAAGCGUAUUCACCAUCAACUUUUAUAGUUGCUCGCUGAAAGAAUAAACAACAUCAGGUCAAAAACUUCUAGCCUCCUUCCAAGGAAUUAAUCGAAACAGAGCCAAAAGAAUCUUAAUUAAAACCUAAAAGUAGACGGUUUAAGGGACUUCAUGCUUAGCACUCAACUGGCCUUAAAGUUCCCAGAUAUUGUUGAAUGUGUGUUAUUCUAUGCAUGUUUAGUUCCCUCUAUACCAAAAUAGGAUAUAAAAAUUGAUAUUAAUGCAGCUUAAAUGAAGGAUGAACAGGGAUAAGAUAUGAACCUUGAUGCCUGCAAUUUCACCCGGCAUUUCAUCCACUACUGUUACUCCAUAGCCACGCCGUUGGGCCCAGGUUUUAUACAUUUGCAUAACCAUUGCUGCCCAAUCCAUGCUCUCAGUUCCUCCAGCUCCAGCUUGUACCUACACCAUAAACCAAAAGAUCGAGGUUGAGAUUGUGAUUGGCAGCAAAAAAAAGCAGAAGGUUUUGAUUAUCCGUUGGGACAAUGGAAUAUAAGAAAGGAAACCCUUAACUUCAAGGCAUUACAUUUUUCUUUCAAAUGCAUUGAACACAGUCAAAGAAGUAUAUAAGUGAAACCUCUAUAUAACAAGAGCAAGAAUCGUGCUCUCCAGCUAACAAAGCUUCAAGCUCCUUGUCCUUUGAAUCUCUUCUCAUCCUCAGCAAUGCUUUCACUGAUUCCUGCAGAGGAAAAACUUACUAAGUAAGAAUUGGCCACUAGAGGAAGAUGCUUAGUAAAAUACAAGUGCCACAUCAGUGUCAUUUCAUCAAAUCUUGCUAAAUCACCUUUUGAUCACGAAAGUAAAUAACAUCUUUCGAUCACCAAAAAUAUGCAUUAAUGAUAUGUAUAAUUAAUCUAAAGAAACUAAAAGAAGUAAUUGCAUUAUCAUCUACAAACCUAUGAGAAACAAGCCCUUAAUCAUAAAACAUAAGAAUGAAGACAUGCCUAGAUAAGAAGUAAGAGCCCACCGAUUCCAACUCAGUGUCAUCCUCUUCCCUUGCAAGUUUUAUCAUAUCUAUAUGUUCAAGCAAUUCUUGCUCAAACGCCUUCACUUCUUUCAUUUUACCCAUUAGUGAGCCGUGUUCACGGCUUAUCUUACCAGCAUGGACAGGAUCAUUCCAAAGGUCAGGCUUAUUCAGCUCUGCAGAUAACAAAUCCAAUCUAACCAUCAAUUUCUUCCACUGCAUCCAAAAAGACAAUGAAGAGUUUAACAAACAUGUUCUUAUGGAAAGUCCACUGAGAGAGAUUUUAGUAGAAAGUAAAUUCAAAUAUAUAAAAGCAGAAACUGAAAUCACAAUUUCAUCAAUCAUUUGUCUUCACAUAUAUAAGUUCCCACUAAAGAACCAUGAGAGUUUACAAAAGGAAAGAACAAAAUAGCUGCAGAACUCCAAUCUCAAAUAUUAAUUUAAUACCAUUAUUAAGAUAAAAUAUAACCCUGAAAAGCAUGAACUUUCAUCUCACACUGGAUAUAAGGAUUGACUAAAUGCCAAUAAAACUAAUACCUGAAGGCGUCUCUUGAUAACUUGAAUGGACUGAGCAAUUGCAGCAGCAUGGCUCUUCCAAUCACUUUCACUCUCCUCAAGAAUUGUCCACUUACUGCUAGCAAUCCCAUCUACUGUGAGUCCAUCAGAUGUACAUGGUUCAAUAGCAGCCUGGGAACCAAAUUCUCUUGCCCAGAUCCAGCCUUUUCGAUUUAAACGCAAGGAAUGUUGAUUUUGUGAACCCAAAAGGCUUGAACUUGGAAGGAAAGAAAAGGACCCAAACGGCUUUUUCAGUGAGUUAUGCAAAAUCGAAGAACACCCAGGAUCAAAAACCUUGGAGUUCUGAUUGGAAUCUAGAAAAUUGUCAAGAGGAUGUAAGGAAGAAAAAGCUCUGGUUUUGGUUCUAAUGUAUUGAGAUAUGCAAAAGGAUCCAUUACUCGAUCUCUUGAAAAUAAAAUAAGACAUAUUUAGAAGGGAAAAAAAGAGUCUUCUUUUACCCCAAAUGAUUGGUUUUUUGGGGGUUUAAGAGGAACUAUAUAUCAAUUUUCUUGUUCUCAAGGGUUUAUUGCCAUUGGAAAGGCGGGACCCUGAAACGACGCAGUUUUCGGUAUUGGAGAAUGCUGGAUAAAUUAAAAGAUCCAAUUUACCAACUACCAUAACGUGACACAAAUGCCCUUCUUUUCCCUUCACCAAGCCCAACAAUGCUUCUUCCUUCACAGUCCAAAACCCUUGUCUAAAUUUCCCAGAGCCAGAACCCUGUUCUUCCUCUGCUCAAAAAUGUCUUCAAAUUCCAAUUCCCUCCAAAAUUACCCAACACCACUAUCCCCUCCCUUGCCAUCAAUCUCGAAAGACAUAGAGCUUGCCAGAGCCAUGUCAGCUUCUUCAAAAUCAAGCCUUUUUGGACUCUCAAGAAGUGAUAUUUUAUAUGAAGACGAGUGGCUCAUUGCUGUCAACAAGCCUCAGGGGAUUUAUUGUGAUACCAUUCUGGCCUCAGUUCCUCGCUUUCUAUCUGACUCGGCCCCGUCAGAUCGGCUCUGUGAAGGUCUUUCUACCUUUUCUUGGUUUAUUCAGCGAUUUUUUUCUUCUUUUUAAUUUAGUUUAUGGCUUCUGCCCAAAUAUAUAUAUUAUACUUUGUGGCUAAUUGUGAAAUAUUGGUUUCUGGGUUGACUAGCAUAAUCUCAUUACCAAAGUAUUCAACUCUUGCCAUGGUAAAGUUUGUUUCUUGCUGAAAUAAGCUGAUCUUAGAUGUACUUCCCUGAAAUUGGACUUUUUUUUAUGUAAAAGGAAUUCAUUCAUUCAUAAUUGAAUAGCAUCAUUCAUAAGUGAAUAGUAUUCAACUCCUUGCCAUGAUUGGCUUGGCAAGCACUGAAAUUCCUCAUUAAGCCUGUACAAAUAAACUAUAGGGCCAAUGGGGGAUAAAUCCUCAUCCGUUCCAUUUAGAGCCUUUACACUGAAAAGCAUCGCCUUCCAAAUUGAUGCUUUGGAACCCCAUUUUGGCAUCAAAUUCAAGGGCUUUAUAUGCAGCCAAAGCUUCAACCAGGGAUUUAAAUUGCGGUCGCGGUCGCGUUUUCGGUCGCGUCGCGUUUGUCGCGGUCGCGGACAUAACGGACGCUAUUGCGGUCACUGCGGGUAUCGCGGUCGUGAAUUUUACAUUACUUAUUGUGUAUUGCGGGUAUAGCGGGUUUCGGCAGUAACGGUUUCGGACGGUGCCAUUACCGCUAUAUAACGGCCGCUAUUUCGGUAACGGACCGCUAUUUAAAUCCCUGGCUUCAACUAUAAAGGCAUUCAUAGCUUUGUUGAUUCUGGAAGCCACAGCCCCCAUAACGAAGCCUUAGUGAUCCUUGACCAUCACACCAACACUGCCCUUUAGAUCAUCUUCAAUAAAGGAGCUAUCAAGGUUCACUUUCAGUUUAUUAGCACUUGGGGCUUUCCAGCGUGUAAUGUCUGAUUGCACAUAGGUGGGGUUGUGAUUUGCAUCCUUUUGAACUUCCUUGUAGGCUAAAUCUCACAUAACAAUAUUUCGAGCUUCCCAAACAGCCCAAAGCAUCAUAACUGCUAUCAAAGCCAUCCUUGUUAGGUAUCUUUCCCCCUUUUCUAACCAAUCAACCACUCAAGCAAUACUUGACAACGUGAUUCUAUGGGAGAAGCCGCUAAGUUUGAGCAUCUCCUUGGAUAGUGGGCAGCUCCUUAGCAUGAGUAUCCCAUCCUCUUCUUCCCCUUGACAUCACUCACAUUCUGUUUCAAUGUCCAGCAACCUUUUG
rnacentral:lncRNA from 1 species